CGUUUCAACUUAUGAAGUUGGGCUGGACCCUAGUUAGUAAAUUUGCGAAUUAUUCGCGAAUUAUUGAAAAUCCGAAUUAAACGGUUCGUUUACGAAUUUUUCUCAAAGAAAGUGAAUUAUUCACCAAUCUUUGGGCCAGCUGAAUUAUUCGCAAAUAAUUCACGAAUUAUUGCCGAAUUAUUGAAAAUAUGAAUAAAAAACUUAUAAUUUUUAUUUUUAAAUAUAAAUUAUCUUAUAUUUUAUAUCUUAUAUUUUAUAUUUUAUAUCGAAUCCGUUUUUUAAGCCGAAUUUUUCAACGAAUUUAAAAAUUAGAAAAUAAAUUUUAUGUAUAUAAUAUUCGUA
rnacentral:lncRNA from 1 species